ensembl:snRNA U6 U6 spliceosomal RNA
UUGCUUCAGCAGUACAAAUACUAAAAUUGGAAUGAUACAGAAAUUAGCAUGGUCCCUGCGCAAGGAUGACACACAAAUUCGUGAAGCGUUCCAAACUUUU